rnacentral:rRNA from 1 species
GGGCCCGCACAAGCGGUGGAGCAUGUGGUUUAAUUCGAUGCAACGCGAAAAACCUUACCUACCCUUGACAUCCUUGGAAUCUCCUAGAGAUAGGAGAGUGUCUUCGGAAACCAAGUGACAGGUGCUGCAUGGCUGUCGUCAGCUCGUGUCGUGAGAUGUUAGGUUAAGUCCUGUAACGAGCGCAACCCCCCAUCCUUAGUUACCAGCAUGUUAUGAUGGGUACUCUAACGGAACUGCCGGUGCAAACCGUGAGGAAGGUGGGGACGACGUCAAAUCAUCACGGCCCUUACGUCCUGGGCCACACACGUGCUACAAUGGUAGGUACAGAGGGAAGCCACCCCGCGAGGGGGAGCGGAUCUACAAAACCUAUCUCAGUUCGGAUCGGAGUCUGCAACUCGACUCCGUGAAGCUGGAAUC